rnacentral:rRNA from 1 species
AUUGAACGCUGGCGGCAGGCCUAACACAUGCAAGUCGAACGGUAACAGGAAGCAGCUUGCUGCUUUGCUGACGAGUGGCGGACGGGUGAGUAAUGUGUGGGAAACUGCCUGAUGGAGGGGGAUAACUACUGGAAACGGUAGCUAAUACCGCAUAACGUCGCAAGACCAAAGAGGGGGACCUUAGGGCCUCUUGCCAUCGGAUGUGCCCAGAUGGGAUUAGCUAGUAGGUGGGGUAACGGCUCACCUAGGCGACGAUCCCUAGCUGGUCUGAGAGGAUGACCAGCCACACUGGAACUGAGACACGGUCCAGACUCCUACGGGAGGCAGCAGUGGGGAAUAUUGCACAAUGGGCGCAAGCCUGAUGCAGCCAUGCCGCGUGUAUGAAGAAGGCCUUCGGGUUGUAAAGUACUUUCAGCGGGGAGGAAGGGAGUAAAGUUAAUACCUUUGCUCAUUGACGUUACCCGCAGAAGAAGCACCGGCUAACUCCGUG